rnacentral:rRNA from 1 species
UACGUAGGUGGCAAGCGUUGUCCGGAUUUACUGGGCGUAAAGAGCGCGCAGGCGGUCAGAUAAGUCGAAUGUGAAAGCCCCCGGCUCAACCGGGGGAGGUUGUCCGAUACUGCUAAACUGGAGGGCAGUAGAGGGUGGUGGAAUUCCGGGUGUAGUGGUGAAAUGCGUAGAGAUCCGGAGGAACACCAGUGGCGAAAGCGGCCACCUGGACUGUACCUGACGCUGAAACGCGAAAGCUAGGGGAGCGAACGGG